GUAUAUGUGCAGGGAUAUUAACUUAUGAGCUGCAUACAAAAUAAUAUCCCAAAAAGGAAUAGUAUAUGGGUUAUAACCCACAAUGCCCCUAGUUCUAGUAUUAACAUAGAUAAACAAUCUAACAUACCAUGUGCUCCCAUGAUAAAACUGUAAUCCCUCAGAUAAAAAUGUUUAUGCAGACAGACAGUAAGACAAGCGGCAGCAGCUGCUUGAAACACUGCUUAUUCUAAUUGGUAACUAAUUGCACUCAUAACAUAAACCAGACUAACAUUACAUAAAGACACCUGCCAUGCUUCAGACAGAUCAGACAGAGUCUAAGUUGAACCCCAAACAGGUUAAGUUGCUCCAUUUCUGCACCCAGUGAAAGUCUUAAUGUGCCUGUGUCUGCUUCCUGGUGUGUUAUACUAAAA